UAGGGAAUCUUCCGCAAUGGACGCAAGUCUGACGGAGCAACGCCGCGUGAGUGAAGAAGGAUUUCGGUUCGUAAAACUCUGUUGUUAGAGAAGAACAGCGCAUAGAGUAACUGUUAUGCGCGUGACGGUAUCUAACCAGAAAGCCACGGCUAACUACGUGCCAGCAGCCGCGGUAAUACGUAGGUGGCAAGCGUUGUCCGGAUUUAUUGGGCGUAAAGCGAGCGCAGGCGGUCAAUUAAGUCUGAUGUGAAAGCCCCCGGCUCAACCGGGGAGGGUCAUUGGAAACUGGUUGACUUGAGUGCAGAAGAGGAGAGUGGAAUUCCAUGUGUAGCGGUGAAAUGCGUAGAUAUGUGGAGGAACACCAGUGGCGAAGGCGACUCUCUGGUCUGUAACUGACGCUGAGGUUCGAAAGCGUGGGUAGCAAACAGG
rnacentral:rRNA from 1 species